rnacentral:rRNA from 1 species
GAUGAACGCUAGCGGCAGGCCUAAUACAUGCAAGCCGAACGGCAGCGGGUCCUUCGGGACGCCGGCGAGUGGCGCACGGGUGCGUAACGCGUAUGUAACUUGCCCACUACAGGAGGAUAGCCCGGGGAAACCCGGAGUAAUACUCCAUGGUACCAUAGACUCGCCUGGGGUUAUGGUUAAAGAUUGUAUCGGUAGUGGAUAGACAUGCGUCUGAUUAGCUAGUUGGUAGUGUAACGGACUACCAAGGCCACGAUCAGUAGGGGUUCUGAGAGGAUGAUCCCCCACACUGGUACUGAGAUACGGACCAGACUCCUACGGGAGGCAGCAGUAGGGAAUAUUGGGCAAUGGGUGAGAGCCUGACCCAGCCAUGCCGCGUGCAGGAAGACGGCCCUAUGGGUUGUAAACUGCUUUUGUAAGGGAAGAAAAAAGCCUUGCGAGACUACUUGACGGUACCUUACGAAUAAGCACCGGCUAACUCCGUGCCAGCAGCCGCGGUAAGAC